CCAUUCAUGCCACUGAAUGAACCUAGGGAACUGAAUAAAGAAGCGUUCCUGACAAUGUAACAAUACCUUAUUUUGAGGUGGGAGAAUAGUCGUAAGAUAAUUCUCUUCCCGUUAGUCACAACUAGAAAAAGG
rfam:Bdellovibrionales bacterium RIFOXYC1_FTLL_37_79 rifoxyc1_full_scaffold_101, whole genome shotgun sequence.